rnacentral:rRNA from 1 species
CGAAGGGGGCUAGCGUUGUUCGGAAUUACUGGGCGUAAAGCGCGCGUAGGCGGACGCUUAAGUCAGGGGUGAAAGGCCGGGGCUCAACCCCGGAACGGCCCUUGAUACUGGGCGUCUGGAGUCCGGAAGAGGUUGGUGGAAUUCCGAGUGUAGAGGUGAAAUUCGUAGAUAUUCGGAGGAACACCAGAGGCGAAGGCGGCCAACUGGUCCGGUACUGACGCUGAGGCGCGAAAGCGUGGGGAGCAAACAGGAUUAGAUACCCUGGUAGUCCACGCCGUAAACGAUGGAUGCCAGCCGUUGGCGAACGUGCCCGUCAGUGGCGCAGCUAACGCAUUAAGCAUCCCGCCUGGGGAGUACGGUCGCAAGAUUA